rnacentral:rRNA from 1 species
AGAGUUUGAUCAUGGCUCAGGAUGAAUGCUGGCGGCGUGCUUAACACAUGCAAGUCGAGCGGUAAGGGCCCUUCGGGGUACACGAGCGGCGGACGGCUGAGUAACGCGUGGGAACAUGCCCAAAGUGAGGAAUAAGCUCCAGAAAUGGAGUCUAAUGCCGCAUAUGAUCUUCGGAUUAAAGGAUUUAUCCGCUUUGGGAGUGGCCUGCGUAAGAUUAGGUAGUUGGUGAGGUAAUGGCUCACCAAGCCGACGAUCUUUAGCUGGUCUGAGAGGAUGACCAGCCAGACUGGAACUGAGACACGGUCCAGACUCCUACGGGAGGCAGCAGUGAGGAAUAUUCCACAAUGGGCGAAAGCCUGAUGGAGCAACGCCGCGUGCAGGAUGAAGGCCUUCGGGUCGUAAACUGCUUUUAUAAGUGAAGAAUAUGACGGUAACUUAUGAAUAAGCACCGGCUAACUACGUGCCAGCAGCCGCGGUCAUACGUAGGGUGCAAGCAUUAUCCGGAGUGACUGGGCGUAAAGAGUUGCGUAGGUGGUUUGUUAAGUGAAUAGUGAAAUCUGGGGGCUCAACCUCACAGACUAUUAUUCAAACUGGCAAACUCGAGAAUGGUAGAGGUAACUGGAAUUUCUAGUGUAGGAGUGAAAUCCGUAGAUAUUAGAAGGAACACCAAUGGCGUAGGCAGGUUACUGGACCAUUUCUGACACUGAGGCACGAAAGCGUGGGGAGCGAACCGGAUUAGAUACCCGGGUAGUCCACGCCGUAAACUAUGGAUACUAGCUGUUGGGGGUAUCGACCCCCCCAGUAGCGAAGCUAACGCGUUAAGUAUCCCGCCUGUGGAGUACGGUCGCAAGACUAAAACUUAAAGGAAUUGACGG